AGUAACGCGUGGGUAACCUGCCUUGUACUGGGGGACAACAGUUGGAAACGACUGCUAAUACCGCAUAAGCGCACAGCUUCGCAUGAAGCAGUGUGAAAAACUCCGGUGGUACAAGAUGGACCCGCGUCUGAUUAGCUGGUUGGUGAGGUAACAGCCCACCAAGGCGACGAUCAGUAGCCGGCCUGAGAGGGUGAACGGCCACAUUGGGACUGAGACACGGCCCAA
rnacentral:rRNA from 1 species